UGAGGAAUAUUGGUCAAUGGGCGCAAGCCUGAACCAGCCAUCCCGCGUGCAGGAAGACGGCCCUAUGGGUUGUAAACUGCUUUUCCAGGGGACGAAUAGUUUCUACGUGUAGAGACAUGACGGUACCUUGGGAAUAAGCAUCGGCUAACUCCGUGCCAGCAGCCGCGGUAAUACGGAGGAUGCAAGCGUUAUCCGGAUUCAUUGGGUUUAAAGGGUGCGUAGGCGGAUUGAUAAGUCAGUGGUGAAAUCCUACAGCUUAACUGUAGAACUGCCAUUGAUACUGUUAGUCUUGAGUUUGGUUAAGGUAGGCGGAAUGUGUAAUGUAGCGGUGAAAUGCUUAGAUAUUACACAGAACACCAAUUGCGUAGGCAGCUUACUGGACCGACACUGACGCUGAGGCACGAAAGCGUGGGGAUCGAACAGG
rnacentral:rRNA from 1 species